rnacentral:rRNA from 1 species
GAUGAACGCUGGCGGCGUGCCUAAUACAUGCAAGUCGAGCGAACAGACGAGGAGCUUGCUCCUCUGACGUUAGCGGCGGACGGGUGAGUAGCACGUGGAUAACCUACCUAUAAGACUGGGAUAACUUCGGGAAACCGGAGCUAAUACCGGAUAAUAUAUUUAACCGCAUGGUUCAAUAGUGAAAAACGGUUUUGCUGUCACUUAUAGAUGGAUCCGCGCCGCAUUAGCUAGUUGGUAAGGUAACGGCUUACCAAGGCAACGAUGCGUAGCCGACCUGAGAGGGUGAUCGGCCACACUGGAACUGAGACACGGUCCAGACUCCUACGGGAGGCAGCAGUAGGGAAUCUUCCGCAAUGGGCGAAAGCCUGACGGAGCAACGCCGCGUGAAUGAUGAAGGUCUUCGGAUCGUAAAACUCUGUUAUUAGGGAAGAACAAAUGUGUAAGUAACUAUGCACGUCUUGACGGUACCUAAUCAGAAAGCCACGGCUAACUACGUG